rnacentral:lncRNA from 10 species
CACAGGAGUGGAUAGAUCUCCUCCCAGAAGGGGAGAUCUAAAGCAGAAAGAGGUUUUGAGAAUCUAACGAAAUCAAGGCCUAUCUAUCUAAAUAACUUCGCGUGCCCACACCACUGUUUUCCUAACCUGAAGCCGUGGAAUAGUGCCCUUUUCCAAGAGGCAAGAAGAGAAAAACUGAAAGCCAGAGAAUGGGCCCUUAAUUUUGGAAAGCCAAGAGAGGACUGAUGGGGUUGCCAAAGCUGGAACAAUGUUAGAGGGGAGGCCUCCAUGUUCCCGCUUUAGACCUUUGCAGAGAAAUGGUGUGGCAUUCAGGAAACUGCACGCCCACAGUGAAGCAGGACAGAGCAAGUGCUGUCAGGCCUCUGAGCCCAGGCCAGGCCAUCGCAUCCCCUGUGAC